rnacentral:rRNA from 1 species
CCAGGAUUAGAUACCCUAUUAUACCAAGAAGUAAUUAUAAAUACCUGAGUAGUAACAGCUAUGUUCUAAAAAUUUGAAAAAUUUGGCGGUGGUUUAGUCUUGUCAGAGGAACCUGUCUUUUAAACGAUACACCACGAAAUAUCUUACUUGAGUUUGUAUAGUAUGUAUACCAUCAUUAUUAGGUAAUUUUUAUAGAAUAAAUUACUGGAAAGUUUCGAUAAUGUUGAAUAUAUUAGAUCAAGGUGCAGCUGAUACUCAAGUUAAGGUGGGUUACAAUAGUAUUUACGCUAUUACGGAUAAGUAAAUGAAACUUUACUUUGAAGGAGGAUUUGAUUGUAAAUUUAGUUUAAUAAGCUAAUUUGAUAUAAGCUCUAAAGCAUGUACAUAUCGCCC